rnacentral:rRNA from 1 species
AUAGGAAAAGUAAAGGCAUCUUUACUUUUUUAAAAGACCUUCUUUGAAGGUAUGCUUAAGGAGGGGCUUGCGACACAUUAGUUAGUUGGCAGGGUAAAGGCCUACCAAGACUAUGAUGUGUAGCUGGACUGAGAGGUUGAACAGCCACAUUGGGACUGAGACACGGCCCAAACUCCUACGGGAGGCAGCAGUAGGGAAUUCUCGGCAAUGGAGGAAACUCUGACCGAGCAACGCCGUGUGAACGAUGAAGUACCUCCGUAUGUAAAGUUCUUUUAUUAAGGAAGAAAAAAGAGUGGAAAAACUCCCUUGACGGUACUUAAUGAAUAAGCCCCGGCUAAUUAUGUGCCAGCAGCCGCGGUAAUACAUAAGGGGCGAGCGUUAUCCGGAAUUAUCGGGCGUAAAGGGUGCGUAGGCGGUUUAAUAAGUCUAUAGUUUAAUUUCAGCGCUUAACGCUGUUGCGCUAUAGAAACUGUUUUACUAGAGUGAGAUAGAGGCAAGCGGAAUUCCAUGUGUAGCGGUAAAAUGCGUAAAUAUAUGGAGGAACACCAGAGGCGUAGGCGGCUUGCUGGGUCUUUACUGACGCUGAGGCACGAAAGCGUGGGGAGCAAACAGGAUUAGAUACCCUGGUAGUCCACGCCGUAAACGAUGAGUACUAAGUGUCGGGCAAAACCGGUACUGAAGUUAACACAUUAAGUACUCCGCCUGAGUAGUACGUACGCAAGUAUGAAACUUAAAGGAAUUGACGGGACUUCGCACAAGCGGUGGAUCAUGUUGUUUAAUUCGAAGAUACACGAAAAACCUUACCAGGUCUUGACAUUUUCUUGCGAAGUUAUAGAAAUAUAAUGGAGGUUAUCAGGAAAACAGGUGGUGCAUGGUUGUCGUCAGCUCGUGUCGUGAGAUGUUAGGUUAAGUCCUAAAACGAGCGCAACCCUUGUCGUUAAUUGCCAGCAUGUAAUGAUGGGGACUUUAACGAGACUGCCAAUGAAAAAUUGGAGGAAGGUGGGGAUUACGUCAAAUCAUCAUGCCCCUUAUGAUCUGGGCUACAAACGUGAUACAAUGGUUGAUACAAAGAGUAGCUGAAACGCGAGUUCUUAGCCAAUCUCACAAAAUCAAUCUCAGUUCGGAUUGAAGUCUGCAACUCGACUUCAUGAAGUUGGAAUCGCUAGUAAUCGCGAAUCAGCAUGUCGCGGUGAAUACGUUCU